AUGGAUUCUGAGACACGAAUCCAGACCCUACGGGGUGCAGCAGGCGCGAAAACUUCACACUGCAGGAAACUGUGAUGAGGGAACUCCAAGUGCUAUCACUAUGUGGUAGCUUUUCUUAACUAUUAAUCGGUUUUGGAAUAAGGGCUGGGAAAGACCGGUGCCAGCCGCCGCGGUAAUACCGGCAGCUCAAGUGGUCGUCGCUUUUAUUGGGCCUAAAACGUCCGUAGCCUGUUUGGUAAAUCUGUGGGUAAAUCAACCAGCUUAACUGGUUGAAUUCUGCAGAGACUGCCAGACUAGGGACCGGGAGAGGUGUGGGGUACUCUAGGGGUAGGGGUAAAAUCCUGUCAUCCUUAGAGGACCACCAGUUGCGAAGGCGCCACACUGGAACGGAUCCGACGGUCAGGGACGAAGCCUAGGGGCACGAACCGGAUUAGAUACCCGGGUAGUCCUAGGUGUAAACGCUGUGAACUUGGUGUCGGGGAUCCGUAAUGGGUUCUCGGUGCCGGAGUGAAGAUGUUAAGUUCACUGCCUGGGGAGUACGGUCGCAAGGCUGAAACUUAAAGGAAUUGGCGGGGGAGCACUGCAACGGGAGGAGCGUGCGGUUUAAUUGGAUUCAACGCCGGAAAACUCACCAAGGCCGACUGUUAGAUGAAGAUCAGCGUAAUGAGCUUAUCGGAUUUUCAGAGAGGUGGUGCAUGGCCGUCGUCAGUUCGUACUGUAAAGCGUUCUGUUAAGUCAGAUAACGAACGAGACCCUCAUCUCUAUUUGCUACCCUGUUCUCCGGAACAGGCGCACUAUAGAGAGACCGCUGGUGUGAAACCAGAGGAAGGCGAGGGCAACGACAGGUCAGUAUGCCCCGAAUGUCUUGGGCUACACGCGCGCUACAAAGGACAGGACAAUGGGAUGCUAGGCCGAGA
rnacentral:rRNA from 1 species